ACGAACGCUGGCGGCGUGCUUCACACCUGCAAGUCGCACGGAAAGGCCCUGCUUUUGUGGGGUGCUCGAGUGGCGAACGGGUGAGUAACACGUGAGUAACCUGCCCUUGACUUUGGGAUAACUUCAGGAAACUGGGGCUAAUACCGGAUAGGAGCUCCUGCUGCAUGGUGGGGGUUGGAAAGUUUCGGCGGUUGGGGAUGGACUCACGGCUUAUCAGCUUGUUGGUGGGGUAGUGGCUUACCAAGGCUUUGACGGGUAGCCGGCCUGAGAGGGUGACCGGCCACAUUGGGACUGAGAUACGGCCCAGACUCCUACGGGAGGCAGCAGUGGGGAAUAUUGCACAAUGGGCGGAAGCCUGAUGCAGCAACGCCGCGUGCGGGGUGACGGCCUUCGGGUUGUAAACCGCUUUCGCCUGUGACGAAGCGUGAGUGACGGUAAUGGGUAAAGAAGCACCGGCUAACUACGUG
rnacentral:rRNA from 1 species